CAGAGGGUGCAAACGUUGUUCGGAAUUACUGGGCGUAAAGCGCGUGUAGGCGGCCCUGCAAGUCGGAUGUGAAAUCCCACGGCUCAACCGUGGAAGUGCAUUCGAAACUGCAGGGCUAGAGUCCUGGAGAGGAAGGUGGAAUGCUUGGUGUAGAGGUGAAAUUCGUAGAUAUCAAGCGGAACACCGGUGGCGAAGGCGGCCUUCUGGACAGUGACUGACGCUGAGACGCGAAGGCGUGGGGAGCAAACAGGAUUAGAUACCCUGGUAGUCCACGCCGUAAACGAUGAGAGCUAGGUGUCACGGGCUUUGACCCUCGUGGUGCCGAAGCUAACGCGUUAAGCACUCCGCCUGGGGAGUACGGCCGCAAGGCUA
rnacentral:rRNA from 1 species